UACGUAGGGUGCAAGCGUUAAUCGGAAUUACUGGGCGUAAAGCGUGCGCAGGCGGUUUCGUAAGUCUGAUGUGAAAUCCCCGGGCUUAACCUGGGAAUUGCAUUGGAGACUGCGAGGCUAGAAUCUGGCAGAGGGGGGUAGAAUUCCACGUGUAGCAGUGAAAUGCGUAGAGAUGUGGAGGAACACCGAUGGCGAAGGCAGCCCCCUGGGUCAAGAUUGACGCUCAUGCACGAAAGCGUGGGGAGCAAAC
rnacentral:rRNA from 1 species